rnacentral:lncRNA from 1 species
GGGACGUGACUAGGUAAUGAGUUUCUAUAUUUUUUUUAAUUUUUUUUAUUUCUUUGUUGAAGGAUGAGGAAUAGACUUAUGGGCUUCAUGUGCUGGGAAACCAUUUCCACUUUCAAUUUAUUUUCUUUUCUUUAAAUGAAACCAUGGUAGUCCAUAGGUCGCGGCUAGAGAAUAGUAUUUUGAAGCAAUUUGAUUUUUAACUUCUUUUACUAGGUACUUAGGUCACAUGAAUGAAAAAAAAAAUUGUGUUUGUUUAUUUCUUUAGCUUUAAAUUAUUUUACAAAGUGUCCUCAGUUGUUUUUCAUCCAUUUAAUUUAGUGUUGCAUUUUAAUAGUUUUAAUUGUUUUUGGAUAUAUGUUUGCAUCUAUGAUUUUGUUCAUCUGCAUUCACAAACUUUUCACAAACCCCCCCACUGCGUGUCUGACCUAAUUCUCGAACCACAGUUUGGUCCUUGAGAGACGACUUAGGAGUCAUUCCCUAGCUAUACUGCAUUCCUAAUAUGCAAUUAAAUUUGUAUGGACCGCGACACCCAUCAAAAUUUUGGCGCCGUUGCCGGGGACCAACGGUUCGAUUUUAGGUCUUUUGUUGUGUUAGUCUGUGUUGUUUUUUGUCUUGUGUUGUGAGUGUGAUGUUCCGUUUUGUGUGUUUGUCAUUGUGUGUUGCAUUUAGAUAGCCUUAGUUGCAUAUUUUCAUUGCAUUCUUCUCUUCCCCCCUUUCUACAUGUCUACCUAUUUUGACUCUGUGAGUAAUGCUUAUUCUGUUAGUGCCUAUGAUUAUGAUUCUCCUUCUGGAUGU